GAGGACAGUGAGGCUGUGGCGUUAUCCCAUGUUCCAUCCCAUUAAAAAAAAAAAAAGGACAAUAUUCUGGAGAGUAUGUUCGUACGUGUGUGUUUGGAGACUGCGACGCUUUACGGGAGGAAGCAGAAGGAAAAAAAAAGAUGACUCCUAAUGAACCGCAGAGCGACAGCGACAGCUCCUCGUCCGAGGCGGGCCACGAGACCAGUUUGAGGAUGUGGAGCGUACAGUCAAAGUACACGUGGAAACUUGAUGUUACGGAUAUACACCAGCAGAGGAGGAGGUGGAGCAUGAGUCAGCACUCCCACAUCAAAGGGUGAACAAGUAUGAUUUGUUCUGUGUAGGAAGUGACAGUCGAGCUCCCGGAGAAGAACAACUGCACGUCUUCGAGAUGUGAACGCUCAAAGAAAAUAAAGCACUCCGGAGAA